GGACGAGGGAGAGCUCCCCCUUGAGCUCCUCGAAUGGCUGGAAGACCACGCCGCUGAGCACCUCCUUCCCUUUCCCGGCGGCCCUGCACACUGCCCCGGGUCCGGCACCACGCGGCACAGGCAGCCAGACGGAAGCAGGGGUCGAGGCCGCGGCGGCGAGAUAGGUAGGCGCGGCGGCGGCGGCGGCCGGGGCAACCCUAGGAGGAAGCAUGGCGGAGAGGCGCGUGUGGCGUUUGCUUCCGGAGGUCGCGGCGGGUGAAGAGUGAUGAGAUUAA
rnacentral:misc_RNA from 1 species